rnacentral:rRNA from 1 species
GGGUGAAAUCUGGAGUUGUUGAAAAAUGGUGGAGGGCUAGUUUGAGAGAGGUUGAGGCUGUUAAGAUUUUGGCAUAGAAUAGGAUUAGAUACCCUGUUAUACUAGGUUGUAAGUUGGUUCCUUGAGUAGUAAGUAGUUAUAUUCUUGAAACUUAAAGGAUUUGGCGGUAUCUUAGUCUUGUUAGAGGAACCUGUUCUUUAAACGAUAAACCACGAAUUAUCUUACUUUUUCUUGUAUUUCAGCUUGUAUACCGCCAUUAUUAGAUAGUUUUUAUAGAAAUCUGUUAUAGUAGUUUUAAGCUAGUAUAUUAGGUCAAGGUGCAGCUAAUGGGGAAGUAGUUAAUGGGUUACAAUGAUAUGAGUGUAUUACGAAUUAGGAGUGUAAAAUUUCUUUGAAGGUGGAUUUAAUAGUAAAGUUUGUUUAAUAAGCUGUUUUGAUAGGAGCUCUAAGAUAUGUA